UUUAUGGAGAGUUUGAUCCUGGCUCAGGAUGAACGCUGGCGGCGUGCUUAACACAUGCAAGUCGAACGAUGAAGCCCAGCU
rnacentral:ncRNA from 1 species